GUCCCCUCCCCCAGCCCUGCACCCACCAGUCCACUUUCUGGGCUGGACGUUUCCUAUCAAUAGAGUCACACGCUGUGGCCUUUGGGAUCUGGUUGGCUCAGCAGACAUCUUCAAGGUCGCUCUGUUCCCGGUCACAGUACUUUUUAAAGAGAAUUCCAUUCCGUCCAUCAACCUGGACCUCGGUUUACGGGCUCACCUGAGCACAGAGGUUUGGAAAGUUCUCGGUUUUCCGUGAGGAGGAAUAGAAGUGCUAUGGGCAUCCACGCCAGGUCUUGGUGUGGACCGAAAUUCUGAUUACUCGUGGAUAAUUCAGGGCGUGGGCUGCCAGGUCCUCGGGGACUUGAUGGGGUAAGUACUAUUAUUAGACCCAUUUUAUUUAUCAGGAGACUAGCCUGCCACAGGUCUGUCUCUCGCUCACACACACCAGACUGGGCCGCCAUCCCUCGCCUAGUCCCUCUAGGACCCGCGCGGGAGCCCAAGGUCCCCUACCCACAGGCAGCACCAAGGUCGUCCUGGACCCCACCCAGCGCGGCGUCCCGCCCCACAGCCCGGGCACCGACAACCGUCGCCGCAGGGGCCUGGAGACCCAGACGCGCUGCAGACACUGCGAUUUGUUCAUCUUUCCAGCCAACCCGUCUCGUCCUGACGGUGAGUGAGACGUUCCGGCCUCCGGGAAUCCGUGACCUCCGGGAAUCCGUGACCGCCUCACACCUGACUUCUGCCUGGGGCCGGGGUGGGGCUCUCAGAGCCUGACCUUUCACCUCCUUCCUGGGUUGUCACGUGUCUGCCUGCUGAGGAAACGUCUUAACCUUGGCACGCAUCCCUUGAUUGGGGGUUCGGAUGGCCCCAGUGGGAAGAGCUGUACCGUGAGGCUGGAUAACCUUGGGGCAGCUACUUCAACUCCCUGGGCCUCCUUUCAGGAAACAGGGUGACAGUCACAACCCAGUGAGUCUGCGAAUGCACAAGCCCUGGCAGUGGAGGGGCUGGUCCCAGGGAGGUCGCUGAGCCAGGUCUGGCCGCAGCUGAGGGGCCUCCUUCCUCCUCAUCUUCUGUGAGGCGGGCAGAGCCUCCCCAGGUUACAGAUCAGGAAACCCAAGGCCUGGACUGAUUUCAGAGGCCCAGGGUCUCAUGACAAAUGACACAUGGGAGGCCAGGCUCCUGACUUUUUUGGCUCUGACCCACGUUUCCAGAGCUGCCUUUGUGUUCUUCCCGGGCCUUCUGGCACUCACCAGAUGUUUUCUGGGUAUGUAUGAGUGUCCUAUGGCUGCAGUAACAAAGCCCCACCAACUCAGUGGCUUCAGAUAACAUGAAUUGAUUCUCUUACAAUCUGGAGGUCAGAGUCCAUAACCGAUCUCUCCAGACUAAAAACCAAGAGGUGGGCAGGGCUUGUCCCUCCUGGAAGCUCCAAGGGAGAGUCCUUGUCCUUGUCCCUUUUUCCAGCCCCUAGAGGUGUCCGAAUCGCUGAGCUCCUGGCUCCUUCAGUCUCUGAUUCUGAUCCUCCUGCUCUUACCCUGCCUUGAUGUCCUCACUGUGUGUACGUCUAGCUGACCUGCUGAAUUUCUGCCUUGCCCUGACACCCUUGACAGGGUUCUGUCCCUCUUCAUGUGGGCUUGGCUGAAGCUGGCUGGAUAGGAACAGCAAGGCCACCAGACUAGGUCUGACGUCAUCAUGAUCUCAUGUGCAUGCUAGGUGGCCCCUGCCCUGAGAGUGGACAAUACCAUGAUGGUGACUGGUGAGGUCCACAGUAGGAGCGCAAAGAGGUGGCACCUAGGGUCCAGGGAAUCCAUGAGCUUCCUCCCCUUUAUGAGCCUCUCUCUCCCCUUUUAUUUUUUUGCCUACCUCUGAAACCCCCAACUCUUACAGGGCGGGAAGCUGAUUUGCAAGUUUAUCUCCCACUUCUCCUUUUCUUGGCCAAGAAUAAAAUUCUCCUGCUCUGCCCAGUCAUGCUGGGCCUCAUUCCUGGUUCCACAAUCUGAGAGGGAAAGGACCCAGCCUUUAGGGUCCAAAAUUGCAGCAGAUUCUGCACGACGGUCAGGGAGGCUCUGUCUCUUUCAGUCUGGAGGCACGGCCACCUCGGCUCGCGGCCUCCAGCUUCAGAGUCGGUAUUUCAGUGUCUCCCAGCCCCUCUCAGAGGGACCCUCUGGCCUCCCUCUAUGAAGACCCCAUUGUGAAGGGCUUGGGACUUCCAGGAAACUGAGGCAGUGUGAAGACUCCGCCCCACCCCAGAAACACCUGAUUCUUGUGAUCAAGUCAGAAAGAUUUCAGACAUGUCACUCAGAGUCCUAGGCCUGAGUUUCUUAAAGAAAUAGGAAAAGGGGACCCUCAAGGGAGAGAGCAGUCCCCUCAGAGAGGAGACAGACAGUGUGCUUCUCCUGCACUUCAUUUUAUUGGGAUCCCAGAGAAGUUUCCAGGGCAUCCAGGUCCACCUCUUGACUUUUUUUUUUUGUUUUAAUUUUUGUAGCUGUAGAUGAACAGAAUGCCUUUAUUUUAUUUGUUUAUUUUUUUGUAGUGCUGAGGAUCGAACCCAGUGCCUCACACAUUUGAGGCAAGUGCUCUGCCACUGAGCUACAGCCCCAGGUCCACCUCUUCACUUCUGACUGACAGCAAGAUGACAUCAGACUUUCAGAUAAUAGGUCGUUUGCCGAGGAAUGUGACAUGGCCUGUCCACUUAAGCCAGGCAGGGCUGCAGGUAAAUUGCUUCUUGGAAAAGAAAGCAGGCAGGUGUCAGCACAGUGGGCCUAUUUCAUAGAAUUAUUCCCUUAACCUCGCGUUCCCACCACUCACGUCUGUCUGUCCCCAUCACCAUGAUGAAAUUGGCCCCUGGAGAAUUCAAGACGAUCUCCAUCUCAGUGUCCUUAACUUAAUCCCAUCUGCAAACUCGAACGUUUUUCACAGGUUCUAUGGAUUAGAAAUGGGUGUCUCUGAGUGACCUGAGUCUGCCGCAGCCACCUUCUUUCAGCACCCUGCUGGGCGCUGCCAAGAGGAACAAAGCCCGAGGGGUGCCUGCUGUCUUGCAGCUUCCCUUUGAAGGACUGAGGUCAGCAUGGACGUGUGGUCACAUAAGGGACAAAUGCUUACAAGUAGGCUCCUGAGUAAAAUAUAUUUGAAUCUUGAAAAACAAGUAAUUUUUGGUGUGCCAUGUAAUAUUUAGAAAAUAACAUACUAAAAAUUUUAAUAUGCCCAUGUAAUAUUUGAACCACACUAAAAAUAGCAGAAUAUUACUCCAGUGUGAGUAGACCGCGUUAUAAUUUAUCAUGGAAGGGAUUUAACUGUAGGUAAUGAAUAAGCUCAUGUGCUGGAUGAGAGUGGGUGCAGGGCCUGGUGCCGGGGUGCACGCCUGCAAUCCCAGCGGCUGGGGAGGCUGAGGCAGGAGCUUAGCAAUGGUGAGGUGCUAAGCAACUCCGUGAGAUCCUGUCUCUAAAUAAAAUUCAAAAUAGGGCUGGGAUGUGGCUCAGUGGUCACUUGAGUGCCCCUGAAGAAAGGAAAGUGGGCGCAGGUACAGAGGCACCCUUCUGGUUCCAUUCUAUAGCCCCCAGAAUACGUAAGGCUCCGCCCCUCUCGCCUGCGGCUGCGCAUCCACCUUAGCAUCGCGGGCAGUGGACCAAUCAGCAGCCGAGUCUUGGGGCCUGGUUCUGAGGUCCCACUCGUCCCCCUCUCCCGGGGCCUUCUGCGCAGCCGCACUGGGCAGAGCCUCACGAGGGGCGGGGCAUUGCUUAGGUUUCUCGGGAGAAAGUUCAGUUCCCAGACCCCGCCCCUUCGCCCCUCCAGUGGCCCUUAGGCCACCGGGCUCCCCAUCCCUCAGGCGUCCCCAGGCCACAUCCCUGACCUCUCAGGCGUCCCUGGGCAGGGUCUGAGGCCAGCCUGGGAGGCAGGCAGAGGUGCCAAGACCCGGCCAGGCCCCUUCGGAGAAAGGGGCCGGGUCCUCUGGCGGCCAGGCCCUGGUUUCGCAGAAAGGAAGCAGGACGCCCUCUGGCCAGCGCGGGCUCUUCGGAGAAAACAGCCGGAAGCCGAGGAAGCGCUGGGCCGGCGGCCGCCUGCAGGAGGGUGGGCUUGUGCGCCUGCAGGGCUCCUGGGCUGCCCCUUCCCCGCGGGGGGCAGCCACCUUUGUAGCUGGCAGCGGAUCUCUGUCUUUUAAGACCUGUUUUCGGGGUGCGGGUUGCCUGGGCAGCUGCUGCUUCUGUGCCUGGGGAAGGGUCCAGGAGCAGAUGGGAUUCCCGGGUAGAUGCUCCUGGCGUGCAGAAGAGAGUGAGGGUCGGCAUUCCUUGGUGCUGGCCGCCCGGUGGACGUUGAGCACACUGCAGUCUGAAGACCUGGGCCAGUUUCCCUGAUGCUCGUGAUUGACUUUGUCCUUAUUAACUGCCUCUCAGCAGCCUUGCGGCGUCAAUCAUCUCCCUUUUACAGACCAGGAGAUGCGGACGGGACGGAGCCACGCGGCUGGCCGUCCCGGGGCUAGGUUGGUGGCCUUGCCUGUUCCUCUUUUAUUUUGCUGCCUCUUGUGCGCAGAACUUCAGGGGCGCUCCGCCCUGCUCCCGCCUCCUCCUCCGCCCUCUGCGACAGUGGGCAGAGGUGGGCCCUGGUCCGGGACCAGCCCAGGCAGCUCUCCCAGGCUGAGGUGUCUUCUGGAGUCUUCUGGAGUAGGGAGCUUCCCAGAGCUGUUCCUCCAGGGUGGACCAGGAAGGAGACUGGGCAAGAGGGGCAUCUCCCCCUCACUCUGCUCCCAGCCGAGGCUCCAGAGGUGGCCAGGAUGAGGCUGGCAGGGAGACAUGACCGCACCGUGUCCUGAGUUGGGGGCUGCUACUGACCAGCAAAUUCCCUUGACCCAAGGGAUGGGGCUUUGGCUCCCCCAUCCCCAGCCAACCUGCUGCGCGUCUUUCUGAUGGGCAGCCGCCACUCUGACCCCUGAAACAUUAGGACCUGGCCUGAGAACACCUGCUUUCCAGAGGUGGCUCCUGUGGCUCUGGGUGGGGAAGGGCAGGCAGAGCUUUCUGUGCAGGUGCCUGGGGUAGACACUCAUCUUUCUCCUCCCUGAAGUCCAUUGCUUCCCUGACCUCAGACAGUGUCACCACCACUGGCUGCAGAACCCCACAGCUGCCCAGUCCGGUUCCUCAUCUCUAAGGCUGGGUGGAACUGGACCUCGGCGUAGGGGUGGCCUGCAGGGCUGUUGCCUAGGACUGGAAGGGAGAAGUGAGCGGAUCAGGACCCUGGACACCUGUGGGCGGCCCGGCCUCUGCCUCGCCCUGGCCGGCCUCCGUGCAGGCGGGACAGCCUGUUGGCUGCUGGGAGCCAUUAGCCAAGUAAGUAUGACAAUUUCCUUGCCAGCGUACCCCAUGUUGCAGUGACAUUGAAUGUAGGUGACCUUGCUCAAGGACCAAGGCGGAUUAGGGCGUUCCCGGUUUAGGUUCCAGGUUUAAGGUUUAAGAUUAUUCCUGCUGGGAAUAGGGCGUAUCCUGCUGCCUGAGUUCCCCUUGAGUUCUCACGGGAUUCAGACAGUAUAUUUGGGAGAUAGAAGCCCAGUGGAGGUGGAUUUGGGAAGAGAACGUGGAUUUCCCCAGAACGUGAUUGUAGACGGCUGGUGUGAGUUCGGGAAUAAAGAGUUGCUGUUUGAAUCUACAA